GAUGAACGCUGGCGGUAUGCUUAACACAUGCAAGUCGAACGGAGUACUUCGGUACUUAGUGGCGGACGGGUGAGUAACGCGUGAGAAUCUGCCUUCAGGUGGGGGACAACAGUUGGAAACGACUGCUAAUACCGCAUAUGUCGAGAGACGAAAGAUUUAUCGCCUGAAGAUGAGCUCGCGUCCGAUUAGCUAGUUGGUGAGGUAAGAGCUUACCAAGGCAACGAUCGGUAGCUGGUUUGAGAGGACAACCAGCCACACUGGGACUGAGACACGGCCCAG
rnacentral:rRNA from 1 species